AUUUAUAUAAUAUAUUUAGUAUAUUUGACUUCCAAUCAAAAAGUUUAAUUGUUUUUAAUAUAAAUA
rnacentral:tRNA from 1 species